rnacentral:rRNA from 1 species
AACGUAGGACGCGAGCGUUAUCCGGAGUUACUGGGCGUAAAGCGCGGGCAGGCGGUCUGACAAGUCUGAUGUGAAAUCACCCAGCUUAACUGGGCGAGGCCAUUGGAAACUGACAGGCUGGAGGGCAGUAGAGGUAGGCGGAAUCCGGGUGGAGUGGUGAAAUGCGUAGAGAUCGGUAGGAACACCAGAUGGCGAAGGCGGCCUGCUGGGCUGCACUGACGCUGAGCGC